GUGCUCGCUUUGGCAGCACAUAUACUAAAAUUGGAACGACACAGAGAAGAUUAGCAUGGCCCCUGCUCAAGGAUGACACACAAAUUCGUGAAGCGUUCCAUAUUUUU
rnacentral:snRNA from 1 species